rnacentral:rRNA from 1 species
UACGUAGGUGGCGAGCGUUGUCCGGAAUUACUGGGUGUAAAGGGCGCGUAGGCGGGGAUGUAAGUCAGGUGCGAAAUACCGGGGCUCAACCCCGGGGGUGCAUCUGAAACUAUGUCUCUUGAGUGCUGGAGAGGAAAGCGGGAUUCCUAGUGUAGCGGUGAAAUGCGUAGAGAUUAGGAGGAACACCAGUGGCGAAGGCGGCCACCUGGCCGAGCACUGACGCUCAGGCGCGAAAGCGUGGGGAGCAAACAGG